rnacentral:rRNA from 1 species
ACUUCGGGUGGCUGCAGUGAGGAAUAUUGGUCAAUGGGCGGAAGCCUGAACCAGCCAAGUAGCGUGCAGGAUGACGGCCCUACGGGUUGUAAACUGCUUUUAUACGGGAAUAACGCGCCUUACGUGUAGGGCUUUGCAUGUACCGUAUGAAUAAGGACCGGGUAAUUCCGUGCCAGCGGCCGAGGUAUUACGGAAGGUCCGGGCGUUAUCCGGAUUUAGUGGGUUUAAAGGGAGCGUAGGCCGCAUGUCAAGCGUGCUGUGAAAUGUCCGGGCUCAACCCGGGCCUUGAAGCGGGAACGGGCGUGCUUGAGUCCGCGGAAGGCAGGCGGAAUUCGUCGUGUAGCGGUGAAAUGCUUAGAUAUGACGAAGAACCCCGAUUGCGAAGGCAGCUUGCUGCAGCGGAACUGACGCUGAUGCUCGAAAGCGCGGGUAUCGAACAGGAUUAGAUACCCCAGUAGUC